rnacentral:tRNA from 1 species
GUGGGUAUAGCUCAGUGGUAGGGCACGUGCCUAGUAACCACAAGGUCCUGGGUUCGAUCCUCAGAACCCCCA